rnacentral:rRNA from 1 species
AUUAACGCUAGCAACGUGCCUAAGGUAUGCAAGUCGAACGGUUUUAUUUUUUGUAGCAAUACCGAAAAUAAGACAGUGGCAAACGGCUGAGUAACGCGUGGGAACUUCCCCCUAAGUCUGGCAUAGCUCACCGAAAGGUGGGGUAAAUCCAGAUGGUCUCUUCGGAGUAAAACUUUUGUGCUUAGGGAUAGGCCCGCGUCCCAUCAGGUAGUUGGUAAGGUAAUGGCUUACCAAGCCUAUGACGGGUAGCUGAUCUGAGAGGAUGGUCAGCCAGACUGGGACUGAGAUACGGCCCAGACUCCUACGGGAGGCAGCAACUAGGAAUUAUGCACAAUGGGCGCAAGCCUGAUGCUGCGACGUUGCGUGGAGGAUGAAGUUUUUAGGAAUGUAAACUCCUUUUAUUGGGGAACAAGUUCUGAGUGUACCCAAUGAAUAAGUGCCUGCCAACCACGUGCCAGAAGCAUCGGUAAUACGUGGGACACAAGCGUUAUCCGGAUUUACUGGGCGUAAAGAGAUGCGUAGGCGUCUUUGUAAGUUUGAUGUUAAAUCUCAAUGCUCACCAUUGAAACUGCAUCAAAAACUACAUGGAUUGAGUUAGGUAGAGAAGAGGGGAAUUCCUGGUGGAGCGGUUAAAUGUGUUGAUAUCAGGAGGAACACCAAUGGCGAAAGCACCUCUUUGGACCUAUACUGACGCUGAGGCUCGAAAGUGUGGGGAGCAAAACGGAUUAGAUACCCAUGUAGUCCACACUGUAAACUAUCCCCGUUAGAUGUUUGAAAUCCGCUUGAUUUUCUCUUCGGAGAAGGUUUUUAGUGUAUUUUGAGUGUCGCAGCUAACGCGUUAAACGGGGCGCCUGUGAAGUACGGUCGCAAGACUAAAACACAAAGGAAUUGACGGGGACCCGCACAAGCAGUGGAGUGCCUGGUUUAAUUCGAUGAUCAACGAAGAACCUCACCUGGGCUUGAACUGUAGCUGCUAACCCUAUGAAAGUAGGGCUCUUUCGAAGGUGCUACAGAGGUGCUGCAUGGCUGUCGUCAGCUCGUGUCGUGAGAUGUCGGGUUAAGUCCCACAACGAGCGCAACCCCUGUCUGAUGUUAAAAUUACUUCAGAUACUGCCCCGCCAAAACGGGGAGGAAGGAGGGGAUGACGUCCAGUCAUCAUGUCCCUUAUGUCCAGGGCUACACAGGCACUACAAUGGCUACUACAAUGGGUUGCCAAGCCGCGAGGCGGAACUAAUCCCAUCAAAAGUAGUCUCAGUUCAGAUUGCAGGCUGCAAUUCGCCUGCAUGAAGUCGGAAUUGCUAGUAAUCGCGAAUCAGCAUGUCGCGGUGAAUACGUUCUCGGGUCUUGUACACACCGCCCGUCAGGGCAUGGGAGUUGCUCAUACUCGAAGUCUCUGUCUAUCAGGGCCGAAAGUUAUGGGCGGCGACUGGGCUU